AGAGUUUCUUCCUGGCUCAGGACGAACGCUGGCGGCGUGCCUAAUACAUGCAAGUAGAACGCUGAAGACUUUAGCUUGCUAAAGUUGGAAGAGUUGCGAACGGGUGAGUAACGCGUAGGUAACCUGCCUACUAGCGGGGGAUAACUAUUGGAAACGAUAGCUAAUACCGCAUAACAGCAUUUAACCCAUGUUAGAUGCUUGAAAGGAGCAAUUGCUUCACUGGUAGAUGGACCUGCGUUGUAUUAGCUAGUUGGUGAGGUAACGGCUCACCAAGGCGACGAUACAUAGCCGACCUGAGAGGGUGAUCGGCCACACUGGGACUGAGACACGGCCCAGACUCCUACGGGAGGCAGCAGUAGGGAAUCUUCGGCAAUGGGGGCAACCCUGACCGAGCAACGCCGCGUGAGUGAAGAAGGUUUUCGGAUCGUAAAGCUCUGUUGUAAGAGAAGAACGUGUGUGAGAGUGGAAAGUUCACACAGUGACGGUAACUUACCAGAAAGGGACGGCUAACUACGUGCCAGCAGCCGCGGUAAUACGUAGGUCCCGAGCGUUGUCCGGAUUUAUUGGGCGUAAGGCGAGCGCAGGCGGUUUAAUAAGUCUGAAGUUAAAGGCAGUGGCUUAACCAUUGUUCGCUUUGGAAACUGUUAGACUUGAGUGCAGAAGGGGAGAGUGGAAUUCCAUGUGUAGCGGUGAAAUGCGUAGAUAUAUGGAGGAACACCGGUGGCGAAAGCGGCUCUCUGGUCUGUAACUGACGCUGAGGCUCGAAAGCGUGGGGAGCAAAUCAGAAAGAGAUACCCUGGUAGUCCACGCCGUAAAACGAUGAGUGCUAGGUGUUAGGCCCUUUCCGGGGCUUAGUGCCGCAGCUUACGCAUUAAGCACUCCGCCUGGGGAGUACGACCGCAAGGUUGAAACUCAAAGGAAUUGACGGGGGCCCGCACAAGCGGUGGAGCAUGUGGUUUUAUUCGAAGCACCGCGAAGAACCUUACCAGGUCUUGACACCCCGAUGCUAUUCCUAGAGAUAGGAAGUUUCUUCGGAACAUCGGUGACAGGUGGUGCAUGGUUGUCGUCAGUUAGUGUCGUGAGAUGUUGGGUUAAGUCCCGCAACGAGCGCAACCCUUAUUGUUAGUUGCCAUCAUUCAGUUGGGCACUCUAGCGAGACGGCCGGUAAUAAACCGGAGGAAGGUGGGGAUGACGUCUAAUCAUCACGCCCCUUAUGACCCGGGCUACACAUGUGCUUCAAUGGUUGGUACAACGAGUCGCGAGUCGGCGACGGCAAGC
rnacentral:rRNA from 1 species